ensembl:misc_RNA
GCUCAAGAAAAGGCACAGUUAACAGCUGUGCAGCCUUCCCCACUCUGUGCCUGCCACUGUGCCUCAACCUGACAUAGAGGGAUCACCUCUAAGAGC